UCGCCUAUUUCUCUAUUACGUCUAUUGGUCUGCUAUAAUUAUUAGAUGAUUCUAAAAAAUCUCCGCCUCGAUUUUUUUUAUACUUUCAUUUUAGAAUCUUUGGUACAUAACGCAGAUGUUAUGAAAAAAUUAGGCACUUCUAUCGAGUAGAAAUGGAGAACGGUCAUCUUUAUUUUGUAUGUCCCCACUAUGGGGGCGUGGUCCUCCUUUCACUUGUUUCUGAAGUACACGAUAGCUAUUCAUCUCUCGAAAUUAAUUAUCAAUUAAAUAUCAUUGAAACAAAAUGAAUAUAUUUUAAGACAUCAAUAAAUUUUAAGUGCUACUGAUUUUUUAAACAGAAUAUGCCGGAAUCGACCCCA
rnacentral:lncRNA from 1 species